rfam:Schistosoma mansoni strain Puerto Rico chromosome 4, complete genome
AUCCAGCUGACGAGUCCCAAAUAGAACGGAACGCGCGUCGUGCAU